GAGAAGCCAAAAGCAUAUUUGGGCAGAUAUUGGGUCCUACUCUCGACAACUGAAUAAGGUCGAAAAUGCCUACUUCUUUCCAAAAAUCCCCUUUAACCUUUUCGAUUUUAUCUAGCCAAGAUAAGUAGUCAGAGGGGUCUUUCGACCAUGGACAGGUUCUAAAUAUCCUGUUGUAAUUCAAAUAGUUUAAGUUCAACUCUCCAGCAUCCGUCGAACUCGAUGGGUCAUUUUGUUCUACAAUUUUCUCCUU
rnacentral:lncRNA from 1 species